GUGGAUAUGGGAGGGUCACCGGAUCAGCCUGUGCCUCGGGGCGCCUUGCCUCAAGUACAAAAGACUCGACUCAACUCAUGUUAGUCUUCUAGGUGGCCUAUCUGCGGUGACGGACUGCCAGAUCCGGCUGUGGAAGGCAAUGCCAAGAGAAUGUCCUAUUUUCAGGAUUUGAGUCACUGUCGUGGUUGCUCAUAUUGCUCGAGAGACUGCAUUGCAUUGGAAUACAUUUUCUAGGGUAUGAUAUCCCCAAGGAUUCUUAGCAGCCAAGAUAAAUUGCAGGUUCUGAUGAGCAAGUGUGGAGCAUUUGACUUAUCUCCUAAGAGUUCCAGAACUUUCGGGGUGCAUGGAUUUUGAGAUUUCUUUCUGAAGGGAGCACUUGACAUUUGGAGCUAAAUCUAGACAAAGACGUAAUGCAUUUGGUUCUAGGAGAGUCUGCUACGUUUACCACAUUGCAAGCAAUCUCUGAGAGAUGGUUAUGAUUUGAGAUUUUAAAGGUCUAACUCAUGUUUACCUCCUUCAAGGAGCACGUGGAUUCUCAAGUGCAGUGGGGUGCAGUUUAACACCCCUUUAUCCGUCAUAAAAACAUCCAGCUUUAUAGCCUGACCCAGUUAAAUUAGCAAGAGUUGUUCACUGAAAACACAGGACGAACUCUAGCACUGGUGUGUUUAGAGGUUAUGUCUGUUCUCAAGGCCACAUCCAGUUGAAGUAAAACACAGCAUACAAAACACUGAAGAUCAAUUCCAGAACAUCCAGGAACCUUACCUCUGCCUCCUCCUCUGACUGUGUAAUACUAGAAAAGUCAUUUGCUACCUUUCUCUCACCCAGUUUUCAUGUUGGAAAAGCAAACAUCUCUGCAGAGAGAAUAUAGAAAAAAUGAUUUAUUCCUUAGAACAUGCAAAUAAAUAACAUAAAAAAAAUACAGGAAAUGCAAAUGUUCCAAAAUGUUCCACCAGCAUGAUUCUCUAUCUUCACCCAAAACUUUAAGGCACCUUAUUUCUGUGUUGGUAACUUUGAGCUGUCUGAAGUGUUAUCACAACAUCCAUUAAUUGCUCAACAAGCAUUUUCUGAGUUGUAAGCAUCAGGUGACCAUGAGGGUAUACCCUUCUUUUGUUAAAAAAAAAAAAAAAAAGAAAAAGAAACACUUUAUUUUUAUUUAAUUGCAUGUGUGUAUGAGUUUGUGUUACGGUACCCACAGAGGUAAAAGGAAGGUGUCAGACUCCCUAGAGCAGGUAUAACAGGCAAUUGUGAGCCAUCCACAUAGGUACUGGAAACCAAAUUCCAAUCCUCUGGAAAAGCAUCAAUUAAGUGCCCUUAAGCACUGGGGCAUUUCUUCCAGCCAUUGGGUACAAAUCUCUUAAUGUUGAAAUUUAUAAAUUAGUAUACUUUAAGCUGUGGAUUAUUGUUGACUUCAGAUCUAACUGAGCAGAAGAGCUACCAACCUUAGUUUUGUGGGACUACUGAGAUCCCCUGUCUCAGUGAGUCUAUAACAUAAACUUUUAAGUACCAAAACCUCCUGAACGAGGAUGCCAUUAUCUCUCUGGCAUGCUGUGAGGGCCUGUGCAAACACCUCACUGUGCCAACAGUUGAGCACCUGGCUUUGAGACUCCAUCCUGCUUCUGGUCCUUUGUACUUGCAAAGGCUCAGCAACAUUUCACCCUGCUGAAAGGAUUUUGUGGCCCUAUUUGUUCUCAAGGCUUAAGGGAAGCUUCACCCUCUAUCUGGACUUACUUGAUAACUUACUUUCAAAACCAAACUCCCACUAGGAAUUUUUAAAGCUCCCUUUGCAAAACAUAAUAUAGAAAUUGCUGAAAGAACCUUUCAAAUUGCAAAUUGCUUGUUUUUACCUGAACUUGGAGCCAGUUUGAAGUUGGAGGAGUAUUUUACAUGCAAAGCUAUACAUACAUGCAAAGGUGAUACAAGUUACAGAGAGAUAGAAAUAUACAUUCGAUACAACCCGCCCUAACUACAAACAGAACAACUUCUGGUACCUGAGGAACCCAGAACUCGCAGGCAGACAGGCCCACAUUUCACACAGUUUUUGAGUCCACACGUCUAGAUCAAGAUAAACCACAGGUAGGAAGCAAUCUCCUCUGUCUUGCUCCCAAAGUGGCCCUUAUGGCCCAGUUUGCCAUUUUUCUGAUCUAACGGGUCAAAGAGGGCUCCACAGUUUAUCAUUCUAAAGGAGCCAAUAUAAAAAGAUGGAGCACUGACCGAAAGAGAUAACUGAGCUUACAAGAGAAUGUGGGGAUCGGGCUCGCAGCCUCCUCUUGCCUUGACCACACAGAUCGGCAGCCCCAGCCUGCAGGAAAUGUGCCCCCGCUCCCUUUGGCGUUGUGGUACCAUUUCCCAGCUGCUAGAAAAGACUGAACAUACUCCUUAGGCUCAGAAAAAGAAAGGUGAAGCCACAGUUCAUAGAAGGAGAGUUCACUGCGGCUCCAAAGUAACGAGCACCCAGCAGCACAUCGCUUUAUGGAAGGAAAGAUGACUACGGUGGAAAAGACACCAUAUUGAGUCUCUGAAGCCCUUUUUCCUUAGAUCUGAACACUAAAAAUAACUUGAAAAAAUAUUUCCAACUUUUGAAAUAAAUUCCGGCUAUUGAAGUACAAA